AGCGAGGUAGGACAACGGGAAGUCCGCCGCCAAAUAGUGCGGAAAUGUGAGUUCAAGUCUCGCCCUCGCACCUA
rnacentral:tRNA from 1 species